UACGGGGGGGGUAAGCGUUGUUCGGAAUUACUGGGCGUAAAGGGCUCGUAGGCGGCCAACUAAGUCAGACGUGAAAUCCCUCGGCUUAACCGGGGAACUGCGUCUGAUACUGGAUGGCUUGAGUUUGGGAGAGGGAUGCGGAAUUCCAGGUGUAGCGGUGAAAUGCGUAGAUAUCUGGAGGAAUACCGGUGGCGAAGGCGGCAUCCUGGACCGGCAUUGACGCUGAUGAGCGAAAGCUAGGGGAGCAAACGGG
rnacentral:rRNA from 1 species